rnacentral:rRNA from 1 species
UGCAAGUCGUACGCUUCUUUUUCCACCGGAGCUUGCUCCACCGGAAAAAGAAGACUGGCGAACGGGUGAGUAACACGUGGGUAACCUGCCCAUCAGAAGGGGAUAACACUUGGAAACAGGUGCUAAUACCGUAUAACAAUCGAAACCGCAUGGUUUUGAUUUGAAAGGCGCUUUCGGGUGUCGCUGAUGGAUGGACCCGCGGUGCAUUAGCUAGUUGGUGAGGUAACGGCUCACCAAGGCUACGAUGCAUAGCCGACCUGAGAGGGUGAUCGGCCACAUUGGGACUGAGACACGGCCCAAACUCCUACGGGAGGCAGCAGUAGGGAAUCUUCGGCAAUGGACGAAAGUCUGACCGAGCAACGCCGCGUGAGUGAAGAAGGUUUUCGGAUCGUAAAACUCUGUUGUUAGAGAAGAACAAGGAUGAGAGUAACUGUUCAUCCCUUGACGGUAUCUAACCAGAAAGCCACGGCUAACUACGUGCCAGCAGCCGCGGUAAUACGUAGGUGGCAAGCGUUGUCCGGAAUUUAUUGGGCGUAAAGCGAGCGCAGGCGGUUUCUUAAGUCUGAUGUGAAAGCCCCCGGCUCAACCGGGGAGGGUCAUUGGAAACUGGGAGACUUGAGUGCAGAAGAGGAGAGUGGAAUUCCAUGUGUAGCGGUGAAAUGCGUAGAUAUAUGGAGGAACACCAGUGGCGAAGGCGGCUCUCUGGUCUGUAACUGACGCUGAGGCUCGAAAGCGUGGGGAGCAAACAGGAUUAGAUACCCUGGUAGUCCACGCCGUAAACGAUGAGUGCUAAGUGUUGGAGGGUUUCCGCCCUUCAGUGCUGCAGCUAACGCAUUAAGCACUCCGCCUGGGGAGUACGACCGCAAGGUUGAAACUCAAAGGAAUUGACGGGGGCCCGCACAAGCGGUGGAGCAUGUGGUUUAAUUCGAAGCAACGCGAAGAACCUUACCAGGUCUUGACAUCCUUUGACCACUCUAGAGAUAGAGCUUCCCCUUCGGGGGCAAAGUGACAGGUGGUGCAUGGUUGUCGUCAGCUCGUGUCGUGAGAUGUUGGGUUAAGUCCCGCAACGAGCGCAACCCUUAUUGUUAGUUGCCAUCAUUCAGUUGGGCACUCUAGCAAGACUGCCGGUGACAAACCGGAGGAAGGUGGGGAUGACGUCAAAUCAUCAUGCCCCUUAUGACCUGGGCUACACACGUGCUACAAUGGGAAGUACAACGAGUCGCGAAGUCGCGAGGCUAAGCUAAUCUCUUAAAGCUUCUCUCAGUUCGGAUUGUAGGCUGCAACUCGCCUACAUGAAGCCGGAAUCGCUAGUAAUCGCGGAUCAGCACGCCGCGGUGAAUACGUUCCCGGGCCUUGUACACACCGCCCGUCACACCACGAGAGUUUGUAACACCCGAAGUCGGUGAGGUAACCUUUUGGAGCCAGCCGCC